AUUGAACGCUGGCGGCAGGCUUAACACAUGCAAGUCGAGCGGAGAGAGGUAGCUUGCUACUGAUCUUAGCGGCGGACGGGUGAGUAAUGCUUAGGAAUCUGCCUAUUAGUGGGGGACAACAUUUCGAAAGGAAUGCUAAUACCGCAUACGUCCUAAGGGAGAAAGCAGGGGAUCUUCGGACCUUGUGCUAAUAGGUGAGUCUAAGUCGGAUUAGCUAGUUGGUGGGGUAAAAGGCUACCAAGGCGAAGAUCUGUAGCGGGUCUGAGAGGAUGAUCCGCCACACUGGGACUGAGACACGGCCCAGACUCCUACGGGAGGCAGCAGUGGGGAAUAUUGGACAAUGGGCGGAAGCCUGAUCCAGCCAUGCCGCGUGUGUGAAGAAGGCCUUAUGGUUGUAAAGCACUUUAAGCGAGGAGGAGGCUACUUUAGUUAAUACCUAGAGAUAGUGGACGUUACUCGCAGAAUAAGCACCGGCUAACUCUGUGCCAGCCGCCGCGGUAACAC
rnacentral:rRNA from 1 species